CGGUUAAGUUAGAAAGGGCGCACGGUGGAUGCCUUGGCACUAGGAGCCGAUGAAGGACGGGACGAACACCGAUAUGCUUCGGGGAGCUGUAAGCAAGCUUUGAUCCGGAGAUUUCCGAAUGGGGAAACCCACCACUCGUAAUGGAGUGGUAUCCAUAUCUGAAUACAUAGGAUAUGAGAAGGCAGACCCGGGGAACUGAAACAUCUAAGUACCCGGAGGAAGAGAAAGCAAAUGCGAUUCCCUGAGUAGCGGCGAGCGAAACGGGAACAGCCCAAACCAAGAGGCAUGCCUCUUGGGGUUGUAGGACACUCUGUACGGAGAUACAAAGGAACGAGGUAGAUGAAGAGGUCUGGAAAGGCCCGCCAUAGGAGGUAACAGCCCUGUAGUCAAAACUUCGUUCUCUCCUGAGUGGAUCCUGAGUACGGCGGAACACGUGAAAUUCCGUCGGAAUCCGGGAGGACCAUCUCCCAAGGCUAAAUACUCCCUAGUGACCGAUAGUGAACCAGUACCGAGAGGGAAAGGUGAAAAGCACCCCGGAAGGGGAGUGAAAGAGAUCCUGAAACCGUGUGCCUACAAGUAGUCAGAGCCCGUUAACGGGUGAUGGCGUGCCUUUUGUAGAAUGAACCGGCGAGUUACGAUCCCGUGCAAGGUUAAGCAGAAGAUGCGGAGCCGCAGCGAAAGCGAGUCUGAAUAGGGCGAAUUGAGUACGUGGUCGUAGACCCGAAACCAGGUGAUCUACCCAUGUCCAGGGUGAAGUUCAGGUAACACUGAAUGGAGGCCCGAACCCACGCACGUUGAAAAGUGCGGGGAUGAGGUGUGGGUAGGGGUGAAAUGCCAAUCGAACCUGGAGAUAGCUGGUUCUCUCCGAAAUAGCUUUAGGGCUAGCCUCAAGGUAAGAGUCUCGGAGGUAGAGCACUGAUUGGACUAGGGGCCCCUACCGGGUUACCGAAUUCAGUCAAACUCCGAAUGCCGAUGACUUAUCCUUGGGAGUCAGACUGCGAGUGAUAAGAUCCGUAGUCGAAAGGGAAACAGCCCAGACCGCCAGCUAAGGUCCCAAAGUAUACGUUAAGUGGAAAAGGAUGUGGAGUUGCUUAGACAACCAGGAUGUUGGCUUAGAAGCAGCCACCAUUUAAAGAGUGCGUAAUAGCUCACUGGUCGAGUGACUCUGCGCCGAAAAUGUACCGGGGCUAAACGUAUCACCGAAGCUGCGGACUGUUCUUCGAACAGUGGUAGGAGAGCGUUCUAAGGGCUGUGAAGCAAGACCGGAAGGACUUGUGGAGCGCUUAGAAGUGAGAAUGCCGGUAUGAGUAGCGAAAGAGGGGUGAGAAUCCCCUCCACCGAAUGCCUAAGGUUUCCUGAGGAAGGCUCGUCCGCUCAGGGUUAGUCGGGACCUAAGCCGAGGCCGAAAGGCGUAGGCGAUGGAUAACAGGUUGAUAUUCCUGUACCACCUCCUCACCAUUUGAGCAAUGGGGGGACGCAGGAGGAUAGGGUAAGCGCGGUAUUGGAUAUCCGCGUCCAAGCAGUUAGGCUGGGAAAUAGGCAAAUCCGUUUCCCGUGAAGGCUGAGCUGUGAUGGCGAGCGAAUUAUAGUAGCGAAGUUCCUGAUUCCACACUGCCAAGAAAAGCCUCUAGCGAGGUGAGAGGUGCCCGUACCGCAAACCGACACAGGUAGGCGAGGAGAGAAUCCUAAGGUGAUCGAGAGAACUCUCGUUAAGGAACUCGGCAAAAUGACCCCGUAACUUCGGGAGAAGGGGUGCUCUGUUAGGGUGCAAGCCCGAGAGAGCCGCAGUGAAUAGGCCCAGGCGACUGUUUAGCAAAAACACAGGUCUCUGCGAAGCCGUAAGGCGAAGUAUAGGGGCUGACGCCUGCCCGGUGCUGGAAGGUUAAGAGGAGCGCUUAGCGUAAGCGAAGGUGCGAAUUGAAGCCCCAGUAAACGGCGGCCGUAACUAUAACGGUCCUAAGGUAGCGAAAUUCCUUGUCGGGUAAGUUCCGACCCGCACGAAAGGCGCAACGAUCUGGGCACUGUCUCAACGAGAGACUCGGUGAAAUUAUAGUACCUGUGAAGAUGCAGGUUACCCGCGACAGGACGGAAAGACCCCGUGGAGCUUUACUGCAGCCUGAUAUUGAAUGUUGGUACAGCUUGUACAGGAUAGGUAGGAGCCUUGGAAACCGGAGCGCCAGCUUCGGUGGAGGCAUCGGUGGGAUACUACCCUGGCUGUAUUGACCUUCUAACCCGCCGCCCUUAUCGGGCGGGGAGACAGUGUCAGGUGGGCAGUUUGACUGGGGCGGUCGCCUCCUAAAAGGUAACGGAGGCGCCCAAAGGUUCCCUCAGAAUGGUUGGAAAUCAUUCGCAGAGUGUAAAGGCACAAGGGAGCUUGACUGCGAGACCUACAAGUCGAGCAGGGACGAAAGUCGGGCUUAGUGAUCCGGUGGUUCCGCAUGGAAGGGCCAUCGCUCAACGGAUAAAAGCUACCCCGGGGAUAACAGGCUUAUCUCCCCCAAGAGUCCACAUCGACGGGGAGGUUUGGCACCUCGAUGUCGGCUCAUCGCAUCCUGGGGCUGUAGUCGGUCCCAAGGGUUGGGCUGUUCGCCCAUUAAAGCGGUACGCGAGCUGGGUUCAGAACGUCGUGAGACAGUUCGGUCCCUAUCCGUCGCGGGCGCAGGAAAUUUGAGAGGAGCUGUCCUUAGUACGAGAGGACCGGGAUGGACGCACCGCUGGUGUACCAGUUGUUCUGCCAAGGGCAUCGCUGGGUAGCUAUGUGCGGACGGGAUAAGUGCUGAAAGCAUCUAAGCAUGAAGCCCCCCUCAAGAUGAGAUUUCCCAUUCCGCAAGGAAGUAAGAUCCCUGAAAGAUGAUCAGGUUGAUAGGUCUGAGGUGGAAGUGUGGCGACACAUGGAGCUGACAGAUACUAAUCGAUCGAGGACUUAACCUAAUUU
rnacentral:rRNA from 1 species